rnacentral:rRNA from 1 species
GGGAUGAGCCCAGCGMCGAAUCCCCGGCCCCYGGUCGUGGGAAAUGUGGCGUUUGGGAGUGAGCGUGCCGGGUUCGCGCUGUCGACGGCAAGUCCCCCUGACUGGGGCCUAUCCAGAGCGGGUGCGAGGCCCAUAGCCGUCCGGCGCGUCCCGGAAUGCGAUCUCCUUGGAGUCGGGUUGCUUGGGAGUGCAGCCCUAAUCGGGUGGUAAACUCCACCUAAGGCUAAAUACCGCCGUGAGACCGAUAGCAAACAAGUACCGUGAGGGAAAGUUGCAAAGAACUUUGAAGAGAGAGUUCAAGAGUACGUGAAACUGCUCAGAGGUAAACGGGUGGGCCCUCGAAAUCCUGUGGCGAGAGGAUUCAGUCUGGCGUCUCGUGCGUGCUUGACCGGAAGACAAUCAUGGCCUCCCGGGAUCGGGUGCCGUCCGGUCGCACGGUCGCGUCCCGUCAGACGCAUUUGACUCUCGCCCGAAGGACGCUGCAGCCGGUGGGGCAGUUGCAAACGUGACGGCCUGAAAGUCGGGAGAUGGCAGUUGACCGGUGGCGCGCACUCAGCGCGCCUGCCGGUUGUUAGCCGUCCCGUCCGUGGCCCGUCGCCCCACCGUGGUGUCACUACGCCCUAACGGGCCGUUCUCCGUCCCCUCCUUAAAGUGACGCGAGUAGAUCUCCGCUGGGUAGGGCAGCCGACACGUCGCACUCAUUGCGUGUGGACGGUCGAGCGAGCCCACCCCGCAGGCGGACGGCGGUGCUCGUGGAGGGCCGGAGGUUCGCAGCGAGUAGGUCGGUCACCCACCCGACCCGUCUUGAAACACGGACCAAGGAGUCUAACAUGUGCGCGAGUCAAUGGGUCUUGAACAGGCCCAGAGGCGCAAUGAAAGCAAAGGCCGGCCGUCGUGGCGGCCGAGUUGGGAUCCCCGCUCUCGGGCGGGGCGCACCAACGACCCGUCCCGUCCGGCUCGCCGGUGGGGCGGAGUGUGAGCGCACACGUUGGGACCCGAAAGAUGGUGAACUAUGCCCGGACAGGAC